rnacentral:tRNA from 1 species
CGGGAUGUAGCCUAGCGGCCAAGGCGCCUGCUUUGGGAGCAGGAGAUCGGAGGUUCGAGUCCUCUCAUCCCGA